UGGGUAGAAAUCUUAUUUUGCACAUAAGAAUGUGGAGACCUAUUAAAUCUCCCUACCUAA
rnacentral:tRNA from 1 species